rnacentral:rRNA from 1 species
UACGAAGGGUGCAAGCGUUAAUCGGAAUUACUGGGCGUAAAGCGUGCGUAGGCGGUUUCUUAAGUCUGCUGUGAAAGCCCUGGGCUCAACCUGGGAAUGGCGGUGGAUACUGAGAAGCUGGAGUACGGUAGAGGAAGGUGGAAUUCCCGGUGUAGCGGUGAAAUGCGUAGAGAUGUGGAGGAACACCGAUGGCGAAGGCAGCCCCCUGGGCCAAUACUGACGCUCAUGCACGAAAGCGUGGGGAGCAAACAGG